UGGAUAUUAUAGUGUACUGAAAUGUUAACUGGAUACCUCCAUACAUGUUAUGAUAAUAUCAGAAGUAUGUGUACCAUACCUAUGCAUGCCAAAAGUUUAGUUGCAUGAUAAUAAUUUAAAAAUGACAUACACAUAGAUAAAUGUAGUUAUUCAAAAUCAGUGUAAGGGGCCUGGGAACGACUGUGUUGCCUUGACAACAAAAUUAGAAGUGUUUUCUCAUGCGUCUCUUUAUGUACUAUCUGUAUGCAAAAUUUCAUUUGAUUUGGGCCCAUAAUAACUGAGCUUUGCUUCAGUUUACUAUUCAAUAAACAUACUUACCCAACUAAUGACCUCACAGGUUGUGCUGAAUCGGCAAUUUAUAUUUUGCACAUUUUUGCGUAUAACUUCGGAAUUAGAUGAGAUAGAAUAGAGCAUUAAACGGCCAAGCAGCUAAUUUUUUAUGCUCUUUCAGAUGAAGCAAUAAAAAUUUUGGUUGCCAAUGUCCUUUAAAUAACCACAGGGGCCCCACUAUGAGUUAUGAUUGAAAUAAUAUUGUAUUUAUUUUUUAAAACCUACUUGAAUCCCUUGAUAAUCGAUUAUUUCUUCUCUCGAAGUUCUGUAAACAUUUUAAACUGCUUGGAGUCAUUAUACUAUCACUCUACGUGACGUUUCAAUAAGUAUAGAUGAUCGCUGACAAGUAAGGACCGUGGGUGCGAAAAGACGAAGGCGGCGAAAGAAGGGAGAAUUAAACUAAAG